rnacentral:rRNA from 1 species
GGUUAAUAUUCCUGUACUUGGUGUUACUGCGAAGGGGGGACGGAGAAGGCUAUGUUGGCCGGGCGACGGUUGUCCCGGUUUAAGCGUGUAGGCUGGUUUUCCAGGCAAAUCCGGAAAAUCAAGGCUGAGGCGUGAUGACGAGGCACUACGGUGCUGAAGCAACAAAUGCCCUGCUUCCAGGAAAAGCCUCUAAGCAUCAGGUAACAUCAAAUCGUACCCCAAACCGACACAGGUGGUCAGGUAGAGAAUACCAAGGCGCUUGAGAGAACUCGGGUGAAGGAACUAGGCAAAAUGGUGCCGUAACUUCGGGAGAAGGCACGCUGAUAUGUAGGUGAAGCGACUUGCUCGUGGAGCUGAAAUUAGUCGAAGAUACCAGCUGGCUGCAACUGUUUAUUAAAAACACAGCACUGUGCAAACACGAAAGUGGACGUAUACGGUGUGACGCCUGCCCGGUGCCGGAAGGUUAAUUGAUGGGGUCAGCGCAAGCGAAGCUCUUGAUCGAAGCCCCGGUAAACGGCGGCCGUAACUAUAACGGUCCUAAGGUAGCGAAAUUCCUUGUCGGGUAAGUUCCGACCUGCACGAAUGGCGUAAUGAUGGCCAGGCUGUCUCCACCCGAGACUCAGUGAAAUUGAACUCGCUGUGAAGAUGCAGUGUACCCGCGGCAAGACGGAAAGACCCCGUGAACCUUUACUAUAGCUUGACACUGAACAUUGAGCCUUGAUGUGUAGGAUAGGUGGGAGGCUUUGAAGUGUGGACGCCAGUCUGCAUGGAGCCGACCUUGAAAUACCACCCUUUAAUGUUUGAUGUUCUAACGUGGACCCGUGAUCCGGGUUGCGGACAGUGUCUGGUGGGUAGUUUGACUGGGGCGGUCUCCUCCUAAAGAGUAACGGAGGAGCACGAAGGUUGGCUAAUCCUGGUCGGACAUCAGGAGGUUAGUGCAAUGGCAUAAGCCAGCUUGACUGCGAGCGUGACGGCGCGAGCAGGUGCGAAAGCAGGUCAUAGUGAUCCGGUGGUUCUGAAUGGAAGGGCCAUCGCUCAACGGAUAAAAGGUACUCCGGGGAUAACAGGCUGAUACCGCCCAAGAGUUCAUAUCGACGGCGGUGUUUGGCACCUCGAUGUCGGCUCAUCACAUCCUGGAGCUGAAGUAGGUCCCAAGGGUAUGGCUGUUCGCCAUUUAAAGUGGUACGCGAGCUGGGUUUAGAACGUCGUGAGACAGUUCGGUCCCUAUCUGCCGUGGGCGCUGGAGAACUGAGGGGGGCUGCUCCUAGUACGAGAGGACCGGAGUGGUCGCAUCACUGGUGUUCGGGUUGUCAUGCCAAUGGCACUGCCCGGUAGCUAAAUGCGGAAGAGAUAAGUGCUGAAAGCAUCUAAGCACGAAACUUGCCCCGAGAUGAGUUCUCCCUGACUCCUUGAGAGUCCUGAAGGAACGUUGAAGACGACGACGUUGAUAGGCCGGGUGUGUAAGCGCAGCGAUGCGUUGAGCUAACCGGUACUAAUGAACCGUGAGGCUUAACCUG